CGGCAACGGAUAUCUCGGCUCUCGCAUCGAUGAAGAACGUAUCGAAAUGCGAUACUUGGUGUGAAUUGCAGAAUCCCGUGAACCAUCGAGUCUUUGAACGCAAGUUGCGCCCGAAGCCAUCAGGCCGAGGGCACGCCUGCCUGGGCGUCACACGCCGUUGCCCCC
rnacentral:rRNA from 1 species